rnacentral:rRNA from 1 species
UGAACUGAAACAUCUCAGUAGCUCGAGGAAAAGAAAUCAACCGAGAUUCCGAAAGUAGUGGCGAGCGAAAUCGGAUGAGCCUUUACGUUUUAGCGCGCAGGAUAGUCGAACGGAAUGGAAAGUCCGGCCGUAGCAGGUGAUAGCCCUGUAGACGAAAUUCUGUGUGUGGAACUAAGCGUAAGACAAGUAGGGCGGGACACGUGAAAUCCUGUUUGAAGAUGGGGGGACCAUCCUCCAAGGCUAAAUACUCGUGAUCGACCGAUAGUGAACCAGUACCGUGAGGGAAAGGCGAAAAGAACCCCGGAAGGGGAGUGAAAUAGAUCCUGAAACCGUAUGCAUACAAACAGUAGGAGCCUCCUUGUGGGGUGACUGCGUACCUUUUGUAUAAUGGGUCAGCGACUUACAUUCAGUGGCAAGGUUAACCGAAUAGGGAAGCCGUAGCGAAAGCGAGUCCGAAUAGGGCGAAUUAGUCGCUGGGUGUAGACCCGAAACCAGAUGAUCUAUCCAUGGCCAGGUUGAAGGCACGGUAACACGUGCUGGAGGACCGAACCCACUAAUGUUGAAAAAUUAGGGGAUGAGCUGUGGAUAGGGGUGAAAGGCUAAACAAAUCUGGAAAUAGCUGGUUCUCUCCGAAAACUAUUUAGGUAGUGCCUCAAGUAUUACUGCGGGGGGUAGAGCACUGUUAUAGCUAGGGGGUCAUGGCGACUUACCAAACUAUGGCAAACUCCGAAUACCCGCAAGUACAGCUUGGGAGACAGAGCACCGGGUGCUAACGUCCGGACUCAAGAGGGAAACAACCCAGACCGCCAGCUAAGGUCCCAAAUUAUCGCUAAGUGGGAAACGAAGUGGGAAGGCAUAGACAGUCAGGAGGUUGGCUUAGAAGCAGCCAUCCUUUAAAGAAAGCGUAAUAGCUCACUGAUCGAGUCGUCCUGCGCGGGAAGAUGUAACGGGGCUA